CGGCGGCGGUGGCGGUGGCUCGCGAUGUGCGUGAGUUUGACGCGGUGUGUUGUUCUCGCCUCCCCCGGUUAACGAUAAAACGCUGGCUGCGGGAGCAGGGCGCCAUCUCCUUCCUCCUCUUCCUUGGUCGCAGCAGGGGCCUCGUCCGAGAGACCUUCGUGGUGAACAAGAUGGGGCUCACCUUCACGAGGUUGUUCAGCCGGCUCUUUGCGAAGAAGGAGAUGAGGAUCUUGAUGGUUGGGCUCGACGCGGCCGGUAAAACGACGAUCUUGUACAAGCUCAAGCUCGGAGAGAUAGUUACCACCAUCCCCACUAUUGGAUUCAAUGUGGAGACUGUAGAGUACAAGAACAUUAGUUUUACUGUUUGGGAUGUUGGUGGUCAAGAUAAGAUCAGACCUCUGUGGAGGCACUACUUCCAGAACACUCAGGGCCUUAUUUUUGUUGUAGACAGCAAUGACAGAGACCGUAUUAUCGAGGCAAGGGAUGAACUCCACAGGAUGCUUAAUGAGGAUGAGUUACGUGAUGCAGUUUUGCUUGUGUUUGCAAAUAAGCAAGAUCUUCCAAAUGCAAUGAAUGCAGCUGAAAUUACUGAUAAGCUUGGCCUGCAUUCCCUGCGUCACCGACACUGGUAUAUUCAGAGCGCAUGUGCUACAUCUGGUGAAGGUUUGUACGAGGGGCUGGAUUGGCUCUCCAACAAUAUCGUCACCAAGGAUGCUAAAUGAACUCAAGCAAUACACAAGAGUUGGAUUGGACAUAGCUUUGGGAGACCGGUGCCCAAGUAUCUCUGAUUUGAACAGGACUUGAGGUUCACAGUGAUACAAACAGGCUUGAAACUUGUAGCAAGGAACAUACUGCUUGGUCAGAUUUAUGCCUUAGCGGCAUGAACUUGUCCGUCGUGGUCCAGUUCUGUUGACAUUAGUGCUAUAAUUUUUUUUCUUUUUUCUGUAGUAUUAGUAAUAAUAGCCCGACUUGUAAGAUAAAAGGUUGAGAAAGAUGCUGCGUGGUUGUAUGGUGUGCUAAUAUGAUUAUGAUCAAUCUGUGUUUGAUGUUCUAAUUGAUCA